AUCACCAUAGUAACAGUAUGGACAGAUCAGCCAUUUUCUUUUCUUUCAAAAUAUAGGAAAUUAUUAUUUUUACUUCUAAAUACACAAACUGAAAAUAACAGCUACUUCAAGUAACCACGAAUCUAACUUUUUCUUAAAUACAAUUAUCAAAUAAUUAAAAUAAACCCUCUAAAAAAAGUUUUUGUGUAAGUCUCAUUUUUUUCCAUUAAUGUAACUAUCAAAUCUGGGUUUUUUUUCAUUAAAGGGGACACAACUUUAAAAAAAAACACCAGUUGUAAUUAAAAGAAUUAUCUCCCCCUCAAUCAUCUCGCCUUACCCAAGUUUAUUCUCCUUCAUUAAAAAAUUAUCACCUCUUACCAAAGUCUGUCCACCUUCAUUAACAAAAAUAUCUCCCCUUAGGCUCUUACUAAAGUCUAUCCCCGUCAUUUAUGAUUUGAAAAAUUAUCUCCGUCAUUUAUGAUUUGAAAAAUUAUCUCCCCUUACCAAAGUUUAUCAUCCUUCAUUAACAAAACUAUCUCCCCUUAGGCUCUUACCAAAGUCUAUCCCCGUCAUUUAUUAUUUGAAAAAUUAUCUCCCCUUACCAAAGUCUAUCAACCUUAAUUAACAAAAAAUAUCUCCCCUUAGGCUCUUACCAAAGUCUAUCCCGUCAUUUAUUGAUUUGGAAAAAUUAUCUCCCCUUACCAAAGUUUAUCAACCUUAAUUAACAAAAAUAUCUCCCCUUAGGCUCUUACCAAAGUCUAUCCCCGUCAUUUAUGAUUUGAAAAAUGAUCUCCCCUUACCAAAGUUUAUCAACCUCAAUUAACAAAAAAAUAUCUCCCCUUACAAAGGUAUCUUCACUUCAACAUGUGCCUUAAGUAUAAAUAAUAUAUUUAAAAUGGAAUGUGAAGUCAUUAUCACCAUAAAUAUCUAAGUUCAGUCAAUUAUAACAUAUAUGAGGGAGGGUAGGAGGGGUCCUGAUCCCGAAAUCCUGAGCUUAAAAACAUGAAAUACCGAAAUCCCGGGCUUAAAAAACAUGAAUUCCCA
rnacentral:lncRNA from 1 species